ensembl:misc_RNA Metazoa_SRP Metazoan signal recognition particle RNA
GCUGGGCGUGGUGGCUCACGCCUGUAAUCCCAGCACUUUGGGAGGCUGAGGCGGGCUGAUCACUUGAGGUCAGGAGUUUGAGACCAGCCUGGCCAACAUGAUGAAACCCCAUCUCUACUAAAAAUACAAAAAUUAGCCAGGUGUGGUGGUGAACAUCUGCAAUCCUAGCUACUCAGGAGGCUGAGGCAGGAGAAUCACUUGAACCUGGGAGGUGGAGGUUGCAGUGAACUGAGAUUGUGCAAUUCUACUCCAGCCUGGGCAACAGAGUGAGACUCUGCCUCU